rnacentral:lncRNA from 1 species
AUACUCUUUUUCUGCUAUGAACAUGUGUAUAUAUAUCAUUCUAGGUUGCUACUUAUCCCAUUAUUCCACUACUCCAAUAUACGGACCACAACAAUUACAUAUGGAAACAUGGCUUGCCAGAUAUAUGUAGUUUGAUUGGGAAUUCGAAUCCCAUGUCCGAAACAUGAGAAAUAAUUUGUCAAAAGAAAAAGUAAUUAUAGCCCAGAGGACGUGCUAUGGGAAACAGUGGCUUAUACUUCAUAUCUUAAGGCAUCAAACCGCAAAGAAACUCCAAGCAACACUCGCAAGUUUCGAAACAACAGAAACAGCAACACAACGCGAACAGACUGCAUCUCCAACAUGGAAAAAAAAGAGAAACGAUUCUGAAUCAAACUUGGAAAUUGGAACAGGUAAAAUAUUUGUGGAAAUGUUUAUAGAAUGAACUUGUAAUACUAACCAAGCAUAAAGACAGCCCUUUUCCUCAUGGCGCCUUCGGACAUGUUGAUUGUAUGACAUAACUUCAUAACCUGGUGGCGCAUACAUUUUGUAUCUUGUUUGUUUAACCCAGAAAUCGUGUCUAAAAGUAGUUCAGAUAUAAGGGUCUAAU